rnacentral:tRNA from 1 species
UCCCGAGUAGCUCAGCGGCUAGAGCAACUGGCUUACACCCAGAAGAUCGCAGGUUCGAGUCCGUGCCUCGGGAACCA